rnacentral:rRNA from 1 species
CUGUGUGUAACUAGGCAGUCAGACUGUGGGGGAUAAGCUCCAUAGUCGAAAGGGAAACAGCCCAGACCGCCAGCUAAGGUCCCAAAAUCAACACUAAGUGAUAAAGGAGGUGGGAUUGCCCAGACAACCAGGAGGUUUGCUUAGAAGCAGCCAUCCUCAAAGGAGUGCGUAAUAGCCCACUGGUCGAGCGAUCCUGCGCCGAAAAUGAACGGGGCUAAGUGUUGUACCGAAGCUGCGGAUUUAUUUAUAAAUGGUAGGGGAGCGUUCUAUGUGGGGUGAAGCGUUAGCGUAAGCGGGCGUGGACUGCAUAGAAGUGAGAAUGUCGGCUUGAGUAGCGAAAACAUGGGUGAGAAUCCCAUGCCCCGAAACCCUAAGGGUUCCUCCGGCAGGCUCGUCCGCGGAGGGUUAGUCUGGUCCUAAGGUCAGGCCGAAAGGCGUAGUCGAUGGAUAACAGGUCAACAUUCCUGUACCAGUUAUGUUUUGGGAAGGGGGACGGAGAAGGCUAGCCAAUCCAGAUGUUGGUUACUGGUUCAAGCGUUCAAGGCUUUGAGGAACGGAGAAAACGUUCUGAGCUGAGGCGUGAGUACGAGCUGCUACGGCAGCGAAGUUGGUGAUGUCAUGCUUCCAAGAAAAUCCCUAUACCCGUUAAGGCAUAACUGCCAGUACCCGAAACCGACACAGGUGGGGUGGUAGAGAAUACCGAGGGGCGCGAGAUAACUCUCUCUAAGGAACUCGGCAAAAUGGUCCCGUAACUUCGGGAGAAGGGAUGCCAGCGCAAGCUGGUCGCAGUGAAGAGGCCCAGGCGACUGUUUACCAAAAACACAGGUCUCCGCUAAGUCGCAAGACGAUGUAUGGGGGCUGACACCUGCCCAGUGCCGGAAGGUUAAGGAAGCUGGUUAGCUUUUAGUGAAGCUGGCGACUGAAGCCCCGGUGAACGGCGGCCGUAACUAUAACGGUCCUAAGGUAGCGAAAUUCCUUGUCGGGUAAGUUCCGACCCGCACGAAAGGUGUAACGAUCUGGGCGCUGUCUCGGAGAGAGGCUCGGCGAAAUAGAAUUGUCUGUGAAGAUGCGGACUACAUACACCCGGACAGAAAGACCCUAUGAAGCUUUACUGCAGGUUGGUAUUGUUCUCGGGCUCUGAAUGCGCAGGAUAGGUGGGAGACAUUGAUGUAGUGCUUUUGGGUGCUACUGAGUCAACGGUGAGAUACCACUCUUUCAGAGCUAGAGAUCUAACGUUUACCCGUUAUCCGGGAAACGGACAGUAUCUGCUGGGCAGUUUGACUGGGGCGGUCGCCUCCUAAAAGGUAACGGAGGCG